GGACAGAUGGGAGCUUGCUCCCUGAUGUUAGCGGCGGACGGGUGAGUAACACGUGGGUAACCUGCCUGUAAGACUGGGAUAACUCCGGGAAACCGGGGCUAAUACCGGAUGCUUGUUUGAACCGCAUGGUUCAAACAUAAAAGGUGGCUUCGGCUACCACUUACAGAUGGACCCGCGGCGCAUUAGCUAGUUGGUGAGGUAAUGGCUCACCAAGGCAACGAUGCGUAGCCGACCUGAGAGGGUGAUCGGCCACACUGGGACUGAGACACGGCCCAGACUCCUACGGGAGGCAGCAGUAGGGAAUCUUCCGCAAUGGACGAAAGUCUGACGGAGCAACGCCGCGUGAGUGAUGAAGGUUUUCGGAUCGUAAAGCUCUGUUGUUAGGGAAGAACAAGUACCGUUCGAAUAGGGCGGUACCUUGACGGUACCUAACCAGAAAGCCACGGCUAACUACGUGCCAGCAGCCGCGGUAAUACGUAGGUGGCAAGCGUUGUCCGGAAUUAUUGGGCGUAGAGGGCUCGCAGGCGGUUUCUUAAGUCUGAUGUGAAAGCCCCCGGCUCAACCGGGGAGGGUCAUUGGAAACUGGGGAACUUGAGUGCAAAAGAGGAGAGUGAAAUUCCACGUGUAGCGGUGAAAUGCAUAGAGAUGUGGAGAGAACACCAGUGGCGAGGGCGACUCUCUGGUCUGUAUCUGACGCUGAGGAGCGAAGCGGGGGAGGGCGACAGGAUUAUUACGCUGGUUACUCCACGCCGUAAACAAUAAGUGCUAAGGUUGAGGGGGUUUCCGCCCCUUAGUGCUGCAGCU
rnacentral:rRNA from 1 species